rnacentral:ncRNA from 1 species
UAAAGGUUUGGUCCUGGCCUUUUUAUUGGCUCCUAGUAAGCUUACACAUGCAAAUAUCCAUGUCCCGGUGAAAAUGCCCUCCAUAUCAACAUGAUCAAAAGGAGCAGGUAUCAAGCUCACUAAACCUAGUUGCUCAUGACACCUUGUACAACCACACCCCCACGGGAUACAGCAGUGAUUAAGAUUAAGCUCAUGAACGAAAGUUCGACUAAGUUAUACUAUCUAGGGUUGGUAAAUUUCGUGCCAGCCACCGCGGUCAUACGAUUAACCCUAGUCAAUAAAAUACGGCGUAAAGCGUGAUUAAAAUAGCAAACUUAAUAAGACCAAGCUUAAGCCAAGCUGUAAAAAGCCCUCGCUGUAAUAAAGAUAAAUAACGAAAGUAGUCUUAAAAGUUUUGAAUUCACGAUAGCUAAGAUCCAAACUGGGAUUAGAUACCCCACUAUGCUUAGCCCUAAACCUAGAUACUCAAAUAACAAGAUUAUCCGCCAGAGUACUACUGGCCACAGCUUAAAACUCAAAGGACUUGGCGGUGCUUUACAUCCCUCUAGAGGAGCCUGUUCUAUAAUCGAUAAACCCCGAUACACCUUACCACCUUUAGCAAACAUCAGCCUAUAUACCGCCAUCUUCAGCAAACCUUAACAAAGCCUCACAGUAAGCACAAUAAUAUGAUAUAAAUACGUUAGGUCAAGGUGUAGCCCAUAAGGUGGAAAGAAAUGGGCUACAUUUUCUACCUUCUAGGAACAACCCCUACGAUAGCUUUUAUUGAAACUAAAAGCCCAAGGGCGGAUUUAGUAGUAAGUUAAGAAUAGAGAGCUUAGCUGAAUAGGGCAAUAAAGCACGCACACACCGCCCGUCACCCUCUUCAAGUCCUACGCACAGAUAACCCAUACCUAAUUACAUCUUACUAGUAGUAUGAGAAGAGAUAAGUCGUAACAAGGUAAACAUACUGGAAAGUGUGUUUGGCAUAAU